GUGCUGGGAAGGGACGAGCAUGGUCCCUUUAAAUGAUACCGAACGGGGGACAGGGAAGUGCUGGGUAGAGCAAGGCCGGUUCCUGGCUAGGGCUUCACCCUCUGGCUUGUGCCCACGAACCUAGGUGAGGACAGGCACUCCUGCCUUUGGGCCCAAAUGUUGCAUUUUCCAAAACCACCCUGGCCCACCACACCCCCAUCCUGGGCGGAUAAAAACUGAGACCCUAGCAGGCAGAUAGAUACACAAGCGUCUGGACGUCCAGAGGAGGGGAUCAGCGGAAGAAGACACAAGCAGCCGGACAUCGAGAGGAUGUCGAGGGGAGCAUGCCAGUGGAAGAGCACAUGACAGACACUGGCAGGACAGCAGGCCAUUGACUGGAGGAACGAUGUGGAGUUUAGCGAGAUCAGGAGGAGGAGAGCACGGGCCGCUAAGCAGAGGGACCCCUGGUGCAUCUCCCAUCUGGCUCCCCCAUCUGCUGAGAACUACUUCUACUCAGUAAAACCUCGGACUCAUUCUCCAAGCCCUCGCGUGAUCUGGUUCUUCCGGUACACCACGGCAGGAAACCCUGGGAUACAGAAAUCCCUCCGUCCUUGUGGAUUUUAGAAUGCCAAGCUGACAUUUUGAGUUUUUAUGAGAAACCAGAAAAUUUGGUGUGAAGACCCUAAGUGGUGUGUCUGACUUACAGCAGGCCCACAGUACCUGUUAUUGAGUGAGAUAAGCAAAUGGUAUUUCAGGACCAAAACAUCUGUUUCCUGAAGAGUUGCUCCUUUAAUUGUGUAUCUACCUACCUGUCUAUGUAACUCUUGGCAAAUACAUUGGAGACUUCUCAACUUUCUGCUUCUGAUGAUCUCAACUUGUGGUAUGGCAAAAGGAGAGCAAAAUGUUCACCCAGGGGUCUGAGUUUGGUUCAAGAGAGGAACUACAGCUGUUGGUGACUACAACCAUCUGCCCAGAUGACAUCGUGAUCAACUCCUCUGAAUCACUCUAAAGGAACGAGAAGUCCUGGCAGCUGAGUCAUGAUCCCCCAGGAGCCAUUAAGAAGUUAAUCUUCAGUCACUUCCAUCCAAACAGAAGAAAACCCAUGAAGGAUGAGAACUAUGGGUCCUGAGAAUGACAGGUAUUGAAGACAGGAUUUAUCUUCUCUACUUCUUCUUUUAGAAGCAGAUCAAGAAACUGGCGAUUGAAGAGUAACUGAAAGAAACGCAAUCUGAUCUUACUAGCAGUGAAAGAGCGAGUCUCCCUCUGAUGCCGAGCAGAAGCUAGACUGUACUGCUGCCAUCUCAGCUCACUGCAACCUCCCUGCCUGAUUCUCCUGCCUCAGCCUGCUGAGUGCCUGCAAUUGCAGGCGCGCCGCCACGCCUGACUGGUUUUCGUAUUUUUUUGGUGGAGACGGGGAUUCGCUGUGUUGGCCGGGCUGGUCUCCAGCUCCUAACCGCGAGUGAUCCACCAGCCUCGGCCUCCUGAGGUGCCGGGAUUGCAGACGGAGUCUGGUUCACUCAGUGCUCAAUGGCGCCCAGACUGGAGUGCAGUGGCGUGAUCUCAGCUCGCUACAACCUCCACCUCCCAGCCGCCUCCCUUGGCCUCCCAAAGUGCAGAGAUUGCAGCCUCUGCCCGGCCGCCACCCCGCCUGGGAAGUGAGGAGCGUCUCUGCCUGGCCGCCCAUUGUCUGGGAUGUGAGGAGCCCCUCUGCCUGGCUGCCCAGUCUGGAAAGUGAGGAGUGUCUCUGCCUGGCCGCCAUCCCAUCUAGGAAGUGAGGAGCGCCUCUUCCCGGCCGCCAUCCCAUCUAGGAAGUGAGGAGCCUCUCUGCCCAGCCGCCCAUCGUCUGAGAUGUGGGGAGCGCCUCUGCCCCGCCGCCCCGUCUGGGAUGUGAGGAGCGCCUCUACCCCGCCGCGACCCCGUCUGGGAGGUGAGGAGCGUCUCUGCCCGGCGGCCCCGUCUGGGAAGUGAGGAGACCCUCCGCCCGGCAGCCGCCCCAUCUGAGAAGUGAGGAGCCCCUCUGCCCAGCAGCCACCCUGUCUGGGAAGUGAGGAGCGUCUCUGCCCAGCAGCCACCCCGUCUGGGAGGGAGGUGGGGGGUCAGCCCCCCGCCCGGCCAGCCGCCCCGUCCGGGAGGUGAGGGGCGCCUCUGCCCGGCGGCCCCUACUGGGAAGUGAGGAGCCCCUCUGCCCGGCCAGCCGCCCCGUCUGGGAAGUGAGGAGCGUCUCCGCCCAGCAGCCACCCCGUCCGGGAGGGAGGUGGGGGGAUCAGCCCCCCGCCCGGCCAGCCGCCCAGUCCGGGAGGGAGGUGGGGGGGUCAGCCCCCCGCCCGGCCAGCCGCCCCGUCCGGGAGGUGAGGGGUGCCUCUGCCCGGCCGCCCCUACUGGGAAGUGAGGAGCCCCUCUGCCCGGCCAGCCGCCCGGUCCGGGAGGGAGGUGGGGGGGUCAGCCCCCUGCCUGGCAAGCCGCCCCGUCUGGGAGGGAGGUGGGGGGAUCAGCCCCCCGCCGGGCCAGCCACCCCGUCCGGGAGGUGAGGGGUGCCUCUGCCCGGCCGCCCCUACUGGGAAGUGAGGAGCCCCUCUGCCCGGCCAGCCGCCCCAUCCGGGAGUGAGGUGGGGGGGUCAGCCCCCUGCCCGGCCAGCCGCCCCGUCCGGGAGGUGAGGGGCGCCUCUGCCCGGCCGCCCCUACUGGGAAGUGAGGAGCCCCUCUGCCCGGCCACCACCCCGUCUGGGAGGUGUACCCAACAGCUCAUUGAGAACGGGCCAUGAUGACAAUGGCGGUUUUGUGGAAUAGAAAGCGGGGAAAGGUGGGGAAAAGAUUGAGAAAUCGGAUGGUUGCCGUGUCUGUGUAGAAAGAGGUAGACAUGGGAGACUUUUCAUUUUGUUCUGUACUAAGAAAAAUUCUUAUCCUGUUGAUCUGUGACCUUACCCCCAACCCCGUGCUCUCUGAAACAUGUGCUGUGUCCACUCAGGGCUAAAUGGAUUAAGGGCGGUGCAAGAUGUGCUUUGUUAAACAGAUGCUUGAAGGCAGCAUGCUCGUUGAGAGUCAUCACCACUCCCUAAUCUCAAGUAACCAGGGACACAAACACUGUGGAAGGCCGCAGGGUCCUCUGCCUAGGAAAACCAGAGACCUUUGUUCACUUGUUUAUCUGCUGACCUUCCCUCCACUAUUGUCCUAUGACCCUGCCAAAUCCCCCUCUGCGAGAAACACCCAAGAAUGAUCAAUAAAAAAAUAAAAUAAAAUAAAAUAAAAUAAAAUAAAUAAAGUUUCAUGCGCAUCCGUGUGAAGAGACCACCAAACAGGCUUUGUGUGAGCAGCAUGGCUGUUUAUUUCACCUGGGUGCAGGCGGGCUGAGUCCGAAAAGAGAGUCAGCCAAGGG
rnacentral:lncRNA from 1 species